CGUCGCCCCAGCCUCCCUCCCCUCCCCGGCUCCCCCGAUUUCAGCUGCCCCCGAACUCCGUCCCCUGUUGUCCCUACCUCGAUUCUGCCGCCGCAAACGCCGAUGUGAGUCGUCCGAUCCCACCCGCAAACGCCGCUCCCCGCCUCGAGGCUCGCCGGAACGGACGCCUGGAUACCGCGGCCGCAACCCACCGCCGCGCAGGGAGGUUGCGCCCGCACUAAAAUGGAGCACAGGGAGGCUUUGCCCCCCACAACUCGGAGGACGUGUGCAGGCCGGAGGGCAUGGGGGAACUCGUGUUGAGGUCUAUGCAUCAACAUCUUCUUCAAGGCUAUAAGAAUGUUGGGGGGUUGUACAACUCCAUAGCUUGGUGAUCACGGUGGAGGACUACAACAGCUCCCGCAGAAGGCCUGCCAGCUUGUUCGCCAUGGACCUCAACCACAACAAGCUCGAUCUCUUCUACUGACUGCUGGUGUGCAUCAGCACCGUCAACCUUCAUGCAUCCCCUAGUUCAUGUACCGGUACUUUGGCCGCGGCAGAGUCGACAUCUGAGAUAUAUGAGGCCUUGGAAUUGAGGAAUGGUGGAUCUGAUUAUUUUGUCAAGGGUGUUCUUAAGAUAUUGCUAAAGGAGGUGCUCGCAGGGAGGAGGACCUCAACGUGGUGGGCAUACUUUGCAGGGUGCAGAGAUACUGUCCAAGGAAGGAAUCAGUGCUGAGGUAAUUCCUUUUGUAAACGUUAUAGUUUCACUGAUCAGUGCACGCACCCAGUUACAAGUCGGAUUCCACGUGCCCACGCCGUCCGCGCAAGUUUGCAUCAAAGCGCUGGGGAGGAUGGAAUGGCAGAUUUGCAUUAAACCAGCGACACCACUUCAUAACCAGCAGGCAGGCAACACACUCCUUCAGAUCGGUGGGAUGUUCGAAAAAGAUAAGCCCUUGUAACCUUUGUAUGCAUAGUAGGCAAUCCUUGUGUAGUAGAACCCAGGGAUGAACAUUACAAUGCCCAACAUCAUGAAGAAAAUUCCUGAUACAACAUAAAGGGCCAUAAGUUUAGGUAAAGGGAGUGAAAAUAUUCAUGCAUAAGCACUGCAUUUCAUUUGAAUAAGUACUUAACUAAAACUGCUAUAUGAAAGGGUUCAAAAUGCAUCAGUACUUGAAAGGUGAAUCAGCAUCCAUGCAAAUUAUCAAGCCUGUGCGAGCAAAUCACAACUUGUUCUAAUCAACAAGCAGUUUAGUGCAAAUCACAACUUGUUCUUAAUAUUCCCCUAUCAUAGGCUUCUAGCGUGGAGUAUGAAAAUAUGUGAUAUAUAUUGUGGUGGUAUUGUUUUCUGAUGAAAUGAAUAUUAUUACCCCAUAAGUGGACACAGGCCAGUUGAACCAAUACGAACCCGAUCAACUACAUCGAUGCAUCACCAACCCAAGCAUCCCAAUCCAAACAACUUGUAAUUUGAAACUAGAGGUACAUUAUAGUACCCCUUUUCUUUUUAGGGAACUAGACUAUUAAGGAACACCUUUUCUCUAGUGGGGUACAAGACUAAUAUAAUCAGUUUGUGUGACCCGCCUGAAAACUAUGUUCUGUUAUCAGUAUUUUGUGCCGUCACAAUUCAGUUAGCAGCAUGCAUGUUCAAUUGUUGGUGUCUUUGUUAAGUUUGAGUAGAAAAGCUCAAUCUAGCAUGCUCUUCGCUCUGUUUUACUUUCCAUGAUUCGUUGAUUAUCUAUGCAGUUUCUGCACGAUUACUAUGAGUAUGUGCUUUCAUAUAUUGUUUACUCGAUGACUUGAAUAGUUUACAACGUAUGAUUAUUGCUUAGGACCCUGCACUACUAAAUCAGGGGACUCGCUUGAGUCAGAAAAACUUAGGAACCAAGUUUUCUCUCUAAGUUACUGACUUCAUUUUCUACUGUUUAUAGAUUGCGAACUGAAUUUAAAUCAAAUACUUCAGUAUUGGUCUCUAGAGAGGAAGCUCUGCCAACCAUUACUAAUAACUGAGAAGGAUUUGGCAAUCGCUUAUCUUUGACUCAAUACCUUAUGACCUCGGAAAGGUUUGAACCCGUCAGGGACUAAAGAUGCCAAAGGUUGAAGAAGGGUCACGAGCAAAGAGGGCAUUUACUAUCCUUUGCAAUCUUCACCGUUGGAAGGAUUAUGAUAACUGCAAUUUCAUUUCUUCUUGGAUAUGAGCUCCACAAGAGGAUGAGACCCCUCUCUUCGCCAUAUGUAUAGGACCUACCUUCUUGACAUGACCUAUGCAUCCAAAAGUUCUGAGAUGACCCACUUGUGGUUUACUGCCAUGCCAUGCCUCAUAUGGAGUUUUCCCUUGCACACUUCUUGGCAAUAUUAUAUAUGAGGAGGUACCUAGACCAUCUAAUCAGAUUCGUACACUAAUUGAUGCUAUUGGCUAUGUUAUUCCUUGGCUAAUUACACAUGUGAAGCAAGCUAGAAGCUCAUCUUGUACCCGCAACAAGUUGAUACCUGCAGCACGUGGACAAAGCUAGAUGGCGUGGACAAAGCUAGAUGGGAAGCCUAGUAUAAUUGCAAAGUGAAUCAGUUAGAUUCUAGUAGUUACUAAAAUUUUUAAGUGAUAUUUGUAUGAUAUUGCCACUUUGGCUUUGCUUCUUUGUGAACACAAUUGGCAGUUACUGAACAUGUUUGCUAUCGAGUUAGUUAGCUUCUUGAUA